GUGUGCAGCUUGAAUGAAAAGGCCCGGGGAAUCACCCACAAGCCUAACAUUGGGAUGGCCUAGCAGCACCACCACCCUGGCCUCCUGGAGGCAGGCGGGGAACAGAAAGCCAGCCGAGAGAACAUGUCCAGGUGUGCUGGGCAGAGCACACAUUGCUUAGUGCCAGUGUCACAAGGAUGGUGAUAUUUACACGGGAUGAGGGACGACACACACAGAGAUGUAAGGGUAGGAGCUGACCAGAACAGCCGUGGUAUCUUCAUGACAGCACACACAGGCAAUGCCAUUGGACUGUGGAGGUCCCGUGGUGCUGGGCACAGCUGGGGGCACAGACCCAGGUUGAGGACCCCUGAGACCUCGUGUGCCCAAGUGGAGGGACAAAACUGGGGAUCCAUGAGGACAUAUGUGCAAAAUUGAACGGUGUGAGAACUCUAUUCCAGGGUGUGUAUGUAAGGAGAGGGCACACAUACACGUAUAAGACACACAAAUGGAAACAUGGGAACAUUGGAGCUAGUGAGGAGACCAGAGCAGCAGGUCAGGGACAGGUGCGUGGGUUCAUGCAGCCUGUGCAGAGCCAAUGACAGACCCCGGUGAGAGCCCAGGACCGAGGUCCCACAUUGGAGAGUCCACGGGGGGACAAGGAAGGCCCCAACUGAGGAAGAUCUGAUUCCACUGAAAACACAGGGUCUCCUCUGCUCACACGGGUGUGAGCCCAUGUAUAAACGGUGAAUGUCCAGGCACCAGCUGGAGGAGGCCCAGACAUCUGAUGGAGGAGGCCCAGACAUCUGAUGGAGGAGGCCCAGGCAUCUGAUGGAGGAGGCCCAGGCA
rnacentral:lncRNA from 1 species